UUGCACGCUGGCGGCAGGCCUAACACAUGCAAGUCGAACGGUAACAGGGAUCAGCUUGCUGAUUCGCUGACGAGUGGCGGACGGGUGGGUAAUGUCUGGGAAACUGCCUGAUGGAGGGGGAUAACUACUGGAAACGGUAGCUAAUACCGCAUAACGUCGCAAGACCAAAGAGGGGGACCUUCGGGCCUCUUGCCAUCGGAUGUGCCCAGAUGGGAUUAGCUAGUAGGUGGGGUAACGGCUCACCUAGGCGACGAUCCCUAGCUGGUCUGAGAGGAUGACCAGCCACACUGGAACUGAGACACGGUCCAGACUCCUACGGGAGGCAGCAGUGGGGAAUAUUGCACAAUGGGCGCAAGCCUGAUGCAGCCAUGCCGCGUGUAUGAAGAAGGCCUUCGGGUUGUAAAGUACUUUCAGCGGGGAGGAAGGGAGUAAAGUUAAUACCUUUGCUCAUUGACGUUACCCGCAGAAGAAGCACCGGCUAACUCCGUG
rnacentral:rRNA from 1 species